rnacentral:rRNA from 1 species
UACGUAGGGGGCUAGCGUUGUCCGGAAUCAUUGGGCGUAAAGAGCGCGUAGGCGGCCCGGUAAGUCCGCUGUGAAAGUCAAAGGCUCAACCUUUGAAUGUCAGCGGAUACUGCCGGGCUAGAGUCCGGAAGAGGCGAGUGGAACUCCUGGUGUAGCGGUGGAAUGCGCAGAUAUCAGGAAGAACACCAACGGCGAAGGCAGCUCGCUGGGACGGAACUGACGCUGAGGCGCGAAAGCGUGGGGAGCGAACAGG